UACGGAGGGUGCAAGCGUUGUCCGGAAUCACUGGGCGUAAAGGGCGCGUAGGCGGCGCGGUAUGUCACCUGUGAAAUCUCCUGGCUCAACUGGGAGCUUGCAGGCGAAACUGCCGUGCUGGAGUGUGGGAGAGGUGCGUGGAAUUCCCGGUGUAGCGGUGAAAUGCGUAGAUAUCGGGGAACACCUGUGGCGAAAGCGGCGCACUGGACCACAACUGACGCUGAGGCGCGAAAGCUAGGGGAGCAAACAGG
rnacentral:rRNA from 1 species